rnacentral:rRNA from 1 species
ACCCUUUGUGACAUACCUAUAACUGUUGCUUCGGCGGGUAGGGUCUCCGCGACCCUCCCGGCCUCCCGCCUCCGGGCGGGUCGGCGCCCGCCGGAGGAUAACCAAACUCUGAUUUAACGACGUUUCUUCUGAGUGGUACAAGCAAAUAAUCAAAACUUUUAACAACGGAUCUCUUGGUUCUGGCAUCGAUGAAGAACGCAGCGAAAUGCGAUAAGUAAUGUGAAUUGCAGAAUUCAGUGAAUCAUCGAAUCUUUGAACGCACAUUGCGCCCGCCAGCAUUCUGGCGGGCAUGCCUGUUCGAGCGUCAUUUCAACCCUCAAGCUCUGCUUGGUGUUGGGGCCCUACAGCUGAUGUAGGCCCUCAAAGGUAGUGGCGGACCCUCCCGGAGCCUCCUUUGCGUAGUAACUUUACGUCUCGCACUGGGAUCCGGAGGGACUCUUGCCGUAAAACCCCCCAAUUUUCCAAAGGUUGACCUCGGAUCAGGUAGGAAUACCCGCUGAACUUAAG